rnacentral:rRNA from 1 species
GUGGGGAAUAUUCCGCAAUGGACGAAAGUCUGACGGAGCAACGCCGCGUGAGUGAUGAAGGUUUUCGGACUGUAAAGCUCUGUUGUUUAGGACGAAAGUGCCUGUUGCAAAUAGUUACAGGUAUUGACGGUACUGAACGAGGAAGCCACGGCUAACUACGUGCCAGCAGCCGCGGUAAUACGUAGGUGGCAAGCGUUGUCCGGAAUUAUUGGGCGUAAAGAGCAUGUAGGCGGGAAUCUAAGUCUGUUGUGAAAAUGCGGGGCUCAACCCCGUAUUGCGAUGGAAACUGGGUUUCUUGAGUGCAGGAGAGGAAAGGGGAAUUCCCAGUGUAGCGGUGAAAUGCGUAGAUAUCGGGAGGAACACCAGUGGCGAAGGCGGCUUCCUGGCCGGAUACUGACGCUCAAGUGCGAAAGCUGGGGGAGCGAACGGGAUUAGAUACCCUGGUAGUCC